rnacentral:rRNA from 1 species
GACGAACGCUGGCGGCGUGCUUAACACAUGCAAGUCGAACGGAAAGGCCCUGCUUUUGUGGGUUGCUCGAGUGGCGAACGGGUGAGUAACACGUGUGUAACCUGCCCUUGACUUUGGGAUAACUUCAGGAAACUGGGGCUAAUACCGGAUAGGAUCUCCUGCUGCAUGGUGGUGGUUGGAAAGUUUCGGCGGUUGGGGAUGGACUCGCGGCUUAUCAGCUUGUUGGUGGGGUAGUGGCUUACCAAGGCUUUGACGGGUAGCCGGCCUGAGAGGGUGACCGGCCACAUUGGGACUGAGAUACGGCCCAGACUCCUACGGGAGGCAGCAGUGGGGAAUAUUGCACAAUGGGCGGAAGCCUGAUGCAGCAACGCCGCGUGCGGGAUGACGGCCUUCGGGUUGUAAACCGCUUUCGCCUGUGACGAAGCGUGAGUGACGGUAAUGGGUAAAGAAGCACCGGCUAACUACGUG